ACGCGCAGCGGCCGUUAGGUUGUCUCAGCAGUUAUCUCUCGCUGCAGGUCUGCCCGGUGACGGACGCUGACGCUUUAUUUUCGUAUGUUGAUACAAAGGCUUAAUCAUCACAGCAUGAGAAGACAGCACCAUCUCUUGGGCUUCAGAUACUGUAACCAUGUAUUUCUGUAACGAAGAAGACUCAUACAUGUAAGUAAUAUCUUUUGAUUUGGCCUUCUCUUACAAAUGGAAUUCAUGUUAGUGAAUGUGUUGCAGCUUGCAGAUUAUUAGGCAUCUGUCUGGUCUGAGCAGGCUCCGUUUAAAAAAUUC
rnacentral:lncRNA from 1 species